rnacentral:rRNA from 1 species
UAGCGUAUACUAAAGUUGUUGCAGUUAAAACGCUCGUAGUCGGAUUUCGGGGCGGGCCGACCGGUCUGCCGAUGGGUAUGCACUGGCCGGCGCGUCCUUCCUUCCGGAGACUGCGCCUACUCUUAACUGAGCGGGCGUGGGAGACGGAUCGUUUACUUUGAAAAAAUCAGAGUGUUUCAAGCAGGCAGCUCGCUCUUGCAUGGAUUAGCAUGGGAUAAUGAAAUAGGACUUUGGUGCUAUUUUGUUGGUUUCGAACACCGAAGUAAUGAUUAACAGGGACAGUCAGGGGCACUCGUAUUCCGCCGAGAGAGGUGAAAUUCUCAGACCAGCGGAAGACGAACUACUGCGAAAGCAUUUG